rnacentral:misc_RNA from 1 species
GAAAUGCGAUAAGUAAUGUGAAUUGCAGAAUUCAGUGAAUCAUCGAAUCUUUGAACGCACAUUGCGCUCGCCAGUAUUCUGGCGAGCAUGCCUGUUCGAGCGUCAUUUCAACCAUCAAGCUCUGCUUGCGUUGGGGAUCCGCGGCUGCCCGCGGUCCCUCAAAAACAGUGGCGGGCUCGCUAGUACACCGAGCGUAGUAACUCUACAUCGCUAUGGUCGUGCGGCGGGUUCUUGCCGUAAAACCCCCAAUUUCUAAGGUUGACCUCGGAUCAGGUAGGAAUACCCGCUGAACUUAAGC